UACGAACUGUGCGAACGUUAUUCGGAAUCACUGGGCUUACAGGGUGCGUAGGCGGCUUUUCAAGUCAGGUGUGAAAGCCCCCGGCUCAACCGGGGAAUUGCGCUUGAAACUGGAGAGCUCGAGUCAGCUAGAGGUGCACGGAACUUCCAGUGGAGCGGUGAAAUGUGUUGAUAUUGGAAGGAACACCGGAGGCGAAAGCGGUGCACUGGGGCUGGUCUGACGCUGAGGCACGAAAGCCAGGGGAGCAAACGGG
rnacentral:rRNA from 1 species